rnacentral:lncRNA from 1 species
GUUUUUUCUCAGAGCAUGUAAGAAGCUGAAGCUUUGGCCUAUGAUGGGGAUGCCUAGAGAACCAGGAGGAAGCUUUUGAGAUACCCCCCUUCUUUCUCUAAGAAAAAGUAUGAUGAAGAUUGGAAGAAGGAAGAUCAACAGAAGGUUGAAGAUUGACAUUGCAGUACUGUUGAUGGCGGAAGGACAUGAGAGACAAAAAGUGGUGAAGCUUUUGCAGUCCAAAAAUGUUUAUUUAUUAUGAUAUCCUCUAUGCUUUCGAUUUGAAUCUGACCAUUUUUUAAUAUGAUGUAUAAUGUUUAUGUUAGUGUCCUCUUUUUAUUUAUUUAUUUUCUUGCUAUUGUUUUUGCUGUCUAUCACCUGUCUCUUUUGUUUGUUGCUAUAUUAUAUGUAUGUGUGUGUCCAUUUUUUAGUAUGAUAUAUAAUGUUUAUGUUAGUGUCCUCUUUUUAUUUAUUUAUUUAUUUGCUAUUGUUUUUGUUGUCUAUCACUUGUCUCUUUUGUUUGAUAUAUAUAUAUAUAUAUAUAACAUUCACUUUCUUACUUUUGAUAUGGUUAUAUCGUUUAUUAGUGAUGGUAGGAAACAUUUUUAUUUCAAAUAAAAAUGUUUUCUAAAUUUUAUUGAACUAACUAAUUUUUUUUUUUUAAAAUACUUUUUAUAUUAAAAAUGAUUCCUAAAAUCAUUAUCUAACCGAUUAUAAAAGAACUUUUAAUAAUGUUUCUGUUUAAAGUGUUUUAUUUAUAAAUAUUUUUAAAAUAAUUAUUCAUCAAGUAUUUCUUCGAUUUUACUGAUCCAACUGUUAAUGAAUUUCUUUAGAAGUAGUUCUCACAAUAGUGGUUUUAGUCAAAUAGCAUAUUUCUAUGGAAGCCAUUUUAUAAAGAAUUAAUUAUUAGAUAUAAAUAAAAUUUAUUUUCAUAAUAUUUUUGAUAAUAAAUUGAAUAAAAAUGAAUUUUCAAAGAAAUAUUUAUUAAAUAUUUUUUAGGAUUUUAAAAUUAUUUUGUUCAUACUAGCUUUAGCCAUAUUUCAAGAAUUUUUUUUUAUUUAAAAAAAGGUAAUUUAAACAAAAUUUAGAAAAAUUAAAUAUUGUGUACCACUUAUAGAUUAUGGAAGAAGCUACUAACAAUAUAUAUGCAAUGAACCCAUUUUAUUAUGGAGUCGUGUUUCGAAAUGUGAGGGUUUAUGAAUCAAAAGUGGAUAAUAUUCACACAAGAGGAAGAUGAUGUUUGUUUUUUUUUUUUUUAGUUUUUUGCUAAAAGUAAUUUACUUUCAAACUUUACAUUAUUUGCUUUUUUAUUUUUUUUAUGACUUAUUAUAAAAACAAAUAAUCUAAUAUAAUACUAUGAAGUAUCGUUUAGUUUCAACUUUUAUUUAUAAUUAAAUAAAAAAACAAAUACCAUUAAAGUAAAUUAUUUCAAAUAAUAUUAGAGUCGAUCAUCAAACUUAAUAUUAAAGUCUAUUUGUUUGGUCCAUUGUGAGGACAUAAAAAUAAAUUAUAUAGUUAAGAAGUAAUAUAUCAUCAUACUAUCAACAUUACUUGUUUAGUUAUUAUUAUAGUUUAAUUUUCAUCUCAAUGUCAACAAACAAAUAUUCACAUUUAAAUUAGUUAUUUCAAUGGAAAAAUCAGAAAUUAAUAUUUCUCAAUUUUUUUUCUUUUUUUUUUUGGCCCUUUCUAGUAUACAUGAUAAUCAAUUAAAAUUUCAAACUUUCCCAAAUUUCCUUCUUGUUUCUUUUCCUUUCUCUCAAACCAAAUAGACUAUGUAACCAAAGAAAAAAGGAAGAAACAUAUUCAUUCAUUAGGAGAGUGUUCACACUAAAGUUGAUCAUUGAUUUUUUCAACAUCUCAUGUUGAUAUCAUUCCUUAUCUUUAGACAAAUGGUCCCAAGCUUGGCUAAAGGAGGAGGGCCAUAUGCUUAGCAGGUUGGGACAAACACAUUUGCCUUGGUGAAUAUGCCCUCUUUGUCUUCACAUUUGGUCCCAAUUGUGUACUUUCCAACUCUUUGGAUGUGAAAUUUGUCAUCUAAUUCCUCUUAAAUAUUCUUCUUCCAUAACCAUCUUUUUUUUACUUGGAAAAUGUUAAGCAACCUAUUCAACAAUAAACUGGAUUAAAUAUAUAUGAUGAAAUUUAGGUUAUUGAAUAAGCAUACAAAUAAAUAAAAGUUAAGUAUACGGGUAAAAAUAUAUGAGAUUAAGAUAUAAAUAAUGAAACUUAAAAAUAUAUACGUGAUACCACUUGAUUAGUGAUAUUUUUUUCGAUAGGUAUUGAAAAAUUACACUUUUAUAUUGUGGUUAGACCCUUAUAAUUUUUCUCAUCUUUUACUAGGGCCGAUUAUAAUGAUCUUAUUAGAUACAAGAGCCACUAUAAUAAUUUACUAAUUAUAUUGAAGUUAAGUUACCAAUUAAUCUAAAAGCUUAUGUCAAUGUUAGACAACCGGUUAAAUAUUAUAUAUUGUACAGACUUGUUUAGAUUAAAACUCAAAACUUCAUCUUAUGAACAACUUUCUUUUGAGGUUUGCAUUAAACUUUUAAUUUAUCUAUGUUAAAUUUUAGUAAAGUCUCAAAGAAAAGAAAUCAAAUGUGAAGUAAAAUGAUUUUCUUAUAUAAUGAAAAUAGGAAAGAAAUUAAAUAUAAUUAAAAAUUAGUUAUGAAUUUAUAUAUUUUCAAAUAUUUAAUUUUAAUAAUAGUAGGUGAAAUGAUUUUUAAAAAGUAUGUAAAAAUAAUUUAUUAACUUUAAUUUUCUUUUAUUUUUCUUCAUUUUUAAAAAAAUUUCUUAUCAUGUACAUCAUAUUAACUUUAAAUUUAACAUCUCGCUUUAAGAACUUUGUUUUUAAACAACUUUUUUAAAGUUACAUGUGAGUUCAAUUACUUUGAUAAAAUUAUGACCAUGACUUCUUAGUUAUAUAAUAAGACUUCAAUGUAAUAAAUUAAAUACUUAAUCUUAUCAACUUUUUAUUAUUGUGAAGAAGGCUAAAUAUUCUCUUAGUUUACAUGUGACAAGUACUAGAACAUGGAGGAGAAUCCCAAGAAGGUAAAUGUUUUCACUUUAUAGCUAAAAACAACAUGGUGUGAAGAUUACAACAUUGCAAUGACUAAAAACAAUAUAUAUAGAUCUUAAAAUUACAUCUAUCUAUGGUGCAAUCUUUGGCUCAAGAUAGACUAAUAGUCCUUGUUGAGGUAUUGGCAUUGGAUCCCUAAUGAUAACAUCCUCACCGUCGAGUAGUUUCCAUCUAAAUUGGGUGAUUAAAUAGUGAAUUGAGACUAAGGAUUCAAUCCUCACAAAUUCAUAUCCUGGACAAAUCCUCAUUCCUCCUCCAAAUGGAACAAAAUUGUAAGGUGGGAUUGAUGUCUGGUUAUCGAAUCGAGCCGGGUUGAAUUUCCAUUGAUCUAUAAAGAUUUGAUCAUCCAUAUGGGUUGGACUUGCAGCCCAGAACACCUAAUCAAUAAACAUGAGAAGUAGAUAAUGAGUCGAUAUUACUUAUGUUAAUACAACCACACAUAUAAAUGGAAUAUAUCAACAUUCAAGAAUCUAUUAAUCAAAUAAAGAUAAAAGAAUUUCACAAUUUUUAUUCUUUCGUGAAACCUUAAUAAUAAGAUAGUUAAUUAUGACAUGACCGACAUAUUUGUUAUUCAAUAAAUAACAAAAAAAAAAAAAAAAAACUUCAAAUCUUAUGAGUUGAUCAACUAGUUCAAUUCGUGACAUGUAAUGGAAAUAAUGGAAACUUGUAUGUUUGAUGAGCUGAUAAAAAUAAUGGAAACUUUGACUUACUUGCCACCCUUUAGGAAUCAAGUAGCCACCAUACUCAAAAUCUUUGAGGACUUUCCUGAAACCACCAAAUAUGGGAGGGAUGAUCCUCAUAGUCUCCAUUGCUGCUUUCCAUGUGUGUUUCAUCUUAGCAAGAUCAUCCCAAUUGAGAAGCUCUCCAGAAACUUUGGUCUUUGCUAUUUCUUCAUGCUCUGCAGAUGAGGAAACCAAUUAUCACAAUACAUCAAUCCUUAAUUAACAUAUGAUCAAACACAAUUGCAUCUAUAUAUGUAUGUAUGUAUGUAUAGACUCGUCUUUAUAUGAUACAGGAUAUCACAACGGCUUUACCAUGGACAAUAGCAUCAUAAGCGACCGGGUCUUUUGCUAGGAACCAUAGCAGGAAAGUUAAAAGGCUUGUUGAAGUGUCAUGUCCAGCAAACAUGACAAGAAUAGCAUUAUCCAAAAUCUCUUCUUCGGUCAUUGUCCUCGUCUCAUCUGGACUGCUUUGGUGCUGGAUGUUGAGCAUGCAAGUGAUGAAAUCAUCCUGUGGGGAAGCUUGCCCUAGCUCCAUUGCUGAUCUCUUCUCGUGUAUGAGCUCACUAACCACUCUUCUGAUCCUUCUGCUUGCUUUUAGGCCAUUACUGAACCGAGUGAAUGGCAGAUUUAUUGGUACAGAACAUAGGCCUUGUGAGAAGAGGUGAAAAUCAUGAAUAAGCAUCUCUCUAUCCUUCCCUUGUUCUAGACCAAAUAGAAGAGAGCAUAUGAUAUCAAACAUGAGCUGCUUCAUCAUCGGAUAAACCUGCAGGAUCAAGAAAAGUAGCACUACUUCCCUCAUUAGCAUUAACACAAAAUUAGCUAAUUAAUGGGUCGAAUUAAGGCUUACCUUGACUGUUUGGUGGCCCUUCCAAUUCAUGUCAAGAUGUUGCCUAACCACUCUAUCAAUCUUCCCAACAUACUUCUUCAAGGUUUCAGGCUUCAAGAACAUCCCGAUUGCACCCCUUACUCUUCUGUGAUCUUCACCUCUCAACUCUGUCAAAUUCUUAUCCCCCAAUAUCCUUCUAAUAGGCUGAGGUUGCUGGUUCGCCAGAAUCACCCCAUCAUUAGUGAAUACGAACUUGUUUGCAGCUGCCCCACUGAGAAGAACAGUAGGAGUCCCAAAGAGGCUGAGCUUGGACACUGCCCCAUACUUCUGAAUUCUACUUUGAAGCCAUUUUUCACCUGUGUUUUUUCUCAGAGCAUGUAAGAAGCUGAAGCUUUGGCCUAUGAAGGGGAUGCCUAGAGAACCAGGAGGAAGCUUUUGAGAUACCCCCCUUCUUUCUCUAAGAAAAAGUAUGAUGAAUAUUGGAAGAAGGAAGAUCAACAGAAGGUUGAAGAUUGACAUUGCAGUACUGUUGAUGGAGGAAGGACACGAGAGACACAAAAAGUGGUGAAGCUUUU